rnacentral:rRNA from 1 species
GACGAACCGUGCGAACGUUGUUCGGAAUCACUGGGCUUAAAGGGCGCGUAGGCGGGCAGUCAAGUCAGGGGUGAAAUCCCACGGCUCAACCGUGGAAGUGCCUUUGAUACUGGCUGUCUCGAGGGAGGUAGGGGCGUGCGGAACUUCCGGUGGAGCGGUGAAAUGCGUAGAUAUCGGAAGGAACGCCGGUGGCGAAAGCGGCGCGCUGGACCUCUUCUGACGCUGAGGCGCGAAAGCCAGGGGAGCAAACAGG